rnacentral:rRNA from 1 species
CCUACGGGUGGCAGCAGUGGGGAAUUUUGGACAAUGGGCGCAAGCCUGAUCCAGCAAUGCCGCGUGAGUGAAGAAGGCCUUCGGGUUGUAAAGCUCUUUUUAGAGAGCGGCGGUACCUGAAGAAUAAGCACCGGCUAACUACGUGCCAGCAGCCGCGGUAAUACGUAGGGUGCGAGCGUUAAUCGGAAUUACUGGGCGUAAAGCGUGCGCAGGCGGUUUUGUAAGUCUGUCGUGAAAUCCCCGGGCUUAACCUGGGAAUUGCGAUGGAGACUGCAAGGCUAGAAUCUGGCAGAGGGGGGUAGAAUUCCACGUGUAGCAGUGAAAUGCGUAGAGAUGUGGAGGAACACCGAUGGCGAAGGCAGCCCCCUGGGUCAGUUGACGCUCAUGCACGAAAGCGUGGGGAGCAAACAGGAUUAGAUACCCCUGUAGUC